GAUGAACGCUAGCGAUAGGCCUAACACAUGCAAGUCGAGGGGCAUCACAUGAGGCAGCAAUGCCGAUGGUGGCGACCGGCGCACGGGUGAGUAACACGUAUGCAACCUGCCUUCAACAAGGGGAUAACCCGUUGAAAGACGGACUAAUACCCUAUAACACAGGGGUCCCGCAUGGGGAUAUUUGUUAAAGGACAACCGGUUGAAGAUGGGCAUGCGUUCCAUUAGCUAGUUGGCGGGGUAAGGGCCCACCAAGGCAACGAUGGAUAGGGGAACUGAGAGGUUUAUCCCCCACACUGGUACUGAGACACGGACCAGACUCCUACGGGAGGCAGCAGUGAGGAAUAUUGGUCAAUGGACGCAAGUCUGAACCAGCCACGUCGCGUGAAGGAAGACGGCCCUACGGGUUGUAAACUUCUUUUAUACGGGAAUAAAGUGCCCCACGCGUGGGGUUUUGCAUGUACCGUAUGAAUAAGGAUCGGCUAACUCCGUGCCAGCAGCC
rnacentral:rRNA from 1 species